rnacentral:rRNA from 1 species
AAACCAGCACCUCAAGUGGUCAGGAUGAUUAUUGGGCCUAAAGCAUCCGUAGCCGGCUCUGUAAGUUUUCGGUUAAAUCUAUAUGCUCAACAUAUAGGCUGCCGGGAAUACUGCACAGCUAGGGAGUGGGAGAGGUAGACGGUACUCGGUAGGAAGGGGUAAAAUCCUUUGAUCUAUUGAUGACCACCUGUGGCGAAGGCGGUCUACUAGAACACGUUCGACGGUGAGGGAUGAAAGCUAGGGGAGCAAACCGGAUUAGAAACCCCGGUAGUCC